GACGUAGGGCGCGAGCGUUGUCCGGAUUUAUUGGGCGUAAAGAGCUCGUAGGCGGUUUGUCGCGUCGUCUGUGAAAACCCACGGCUCAACUGUGGGCUUGCAGUCGAUACGGGCAGGCUAGAGUUCGGUAGGGGAGACUGGAAUUCCUGGUGUAGCGGUGAAAUGCGCAGAUAUCAGGAGGAACACCGGUGGCGAAGGCGGGUCUCUGGGCCGAUACUGACGCUGAGGCGCGAAAGCGUGGGGAGCAAACGGG
rnacentral:rRNA from 1 species